rnacentral:rRNA from 1 species
UACGGAGGGUGCAAGCGUUAUCCGGAUUUACUGGGUUUAAAGGGCGCGUAGGCGCUUGUCAGUCAGGCGUGAAAGCCCCGGGCUCAACCUCGGGAACGGCGCUUGGGACGGCGAGGCUGGAGUUCGGGAGAGGAGAGUGGAAUUCCCAGUGUAGAGGUGAAAUUCGUAGAUAUUGGGAAGAACACCGGUGGCGAAGGCGG